rnacentral:rRNA from 1 species
GUCUACGGCCAUACCACCCUGAACACACCCAGUCUCGUCUGAUCUCGGAAGCUAAGCAGGGUCGGGCCUGGUUAGUACUUGGAUGGGAGAAAAGGAAAGAGGGAGUGUGUGGUGAAGGUGUCA